CGAGUCCGCUUGCUAUCCCAGCGUCGCGCGGCAACGGUCCGAAGCUUCUGAGGGGAAAUGGACCUGGAGCCUUCUCCGUCGAGACUCUCAAACGCAAACGUACUUCUCUCUCCGCUCACUGCCUUGGGUACCAGCCUUUGCCUUGAAGGGAGGGGGGU
rnacentral:sRNA from 11 species